AAAAUUGUGAGGUCAGGUGGAGGUGUUUAUGUUGAUUUUUAGCCCUUUUUGUGAUGACCCAGGUUGAAUACAAAAUUAAAUGUAUUUAUUACAAAACAUAAUUCUAGCAUAAUAUUCAUACGUUAUCAUUAUUACGUAACUGAUCUCACAUCUCUAUCUAUCUAUCCAUCCAUCUCUCGUAAUCUCUGGACUCUCUCUCCUUUCUUUUUCAUCUCGUGUUUUUUUUUCGCUUUUAAGUUUCUCUUCCUGUGGCAUCUGUCUACAUAAUUCAUUCCUUUUAUAGUUACACAUCUCCCCAUACUAAGAUUUCUUAUGUACUGCACGUAGCUCAUUUUGUGUUUAUACUCCAUAAUCCUGCAUAUUGCCAGUGAAGCGGACUUUGCGCCACUAUUUCCGGCAAAGGACCUGGGUAAAUUGUAUAUUUUGUUAUGAAAUAAAGAUGAUUUGUAUAGAGAGGAUAGGAUAUAAAGAUCUCUGGAAAAAUAUUUUUAAAUAUGAUCAUAUCUGAUCUUUGUAGCCUCAUCUAUGAAAUGAUAUUAAUCUGAGCCAACUAUGCAUCUCGUAUAUGCCAAGGAAUUGACAAUAGAUGCCGGAUAUUCUUUUUCUUGUGGAAAAUAUAAUGCAAUAUAAAUAUGAAAAUAUAAUGACAAUCUUAGACAAGAUGCAUAUUUUGCCUUUGAAUAAUUGAUUAUUUUCAAACUUUAGGCUUCACUUCAUUCAGCAAGCGAGCAUACAUAGCAAGGGGUUUGAAAAAAAGGCAACGGUCUUCGUCGACAUGCCAGGAAGCCCAAUGGGAUCACUAUUUGUAUUUGAUAUAAAAUCGUAGCUGAACAGUGAAAGAACGAUAAACAUAACAGGUAAAAUUCACUCUGUGGACAUUUCAUGAUGGGGUGAAAUAUUCAUUAUAUCUGUUUCGGCAUUAAAAAGAAUAACGUUCGACCAAUAGCCACCUGUCUGAUAGCGACUACAUUUUAUUGUUCAUGCCACCAAGUCAUGAACAAUAGAUGCCCAGACUCCCUUUCAUGAGGAAUGUCUAAUCCGCGCUCCCUCCUGACGUAUUAUCGAGGAAAGGAAUUUAGCACAGGAUGUUCAUAGAAAUCGGGCCACGCGCGCGUCUUUUGAUUUGACAAUUGAAUACUUUCAAAGGUUCCGAUACGAACAAUAGCUUUUCUCUCCGUUGAGAUCAAGAUUAAAAUUCCUCUGUCUCUUUCCCCAACACCUUCCAUUGACUUAUUGCCAGGCCUACUUAUUGCCAUUAAAAUACAUAAUUUUUAUUCAAAUAUUUGUUUUGACUUUAAGACAUUUAGCAUCAACAAUAUGCGUCAAAUUUCCCGUAAUCUAAAUGAUGAUGAUGAUGAUAGGGAUGAUGGUAAAGAUGCCAUGGAUAAUGUCGAGAAUGAUAACAAGAAAUCAAGGGGGAACAGCACACCUCCACCACCACGACCACCAGCACAAACACUGGCAUCGUUACUUCCACUUAUCAAAAGCAUAAAGAAAAACAAAUAGUUUAAAAUAAAUAAAUCAACUUGUAGCUGAAGCCUACUUUGCAUAUUUAGAAAUAAAGGAUAAAGAUGAAAUUUAAGAUUGAAGAAAUGUAUAGGCUAUAUAAUUCUUGACAAAUCAAACAUAAAGAAAAUUGAAAGAUAAACGAGGAAAAAGAAAUAACGAAGCGAUGGGGUGUGAAGGUAGAAAUUACUAACAAUUUGUAGAAAUUUAGAUCUUUAUAAUUUGUUGAACCUUUGUUUAUUCAAAUAAUAUGUCUGUAAUGGAUCAUCUAUCGGAAAAGUAAGAUAUUGCUUUCGACAAUAUCAGAAAUUAUAUUUACUACACCUCUUAUUUGUGAUAUCGAUAAUUACCCCGUCAUUGAAAAUAUUAAUCUGGUAAGGAUUAAUUUUACUUCCCCUUUCCUGAAAAAAAAUGAAAUGGACACCAUUUGCUGUUCAAAUUAUAUAUAAAUGACACCACUAAACUUUUUAUAACGUGCAUUGUCAAUAUUUUAUCAUGCGGUAGGACUUAUGCACAAUAAACAUAAUCGAUAUGUUAGUACAUUUAACAUUUUCAAUUAUCAAAUUUGCUUGAUAUAUUUUUUUUUCAUUUAGUAGUAAUCCAGUUUAUGCUACCAGAUUUGCCAUAUGAGCUCAGCGUGUAGGGAUAUAUACCCAUUAUCUUU